CUCCACACCUCCCCGCAGGCUGAGGGAGCCGGCUCCGGCCUCGGCCAUCCCAGGAAGGGGCUCCCACAGUGCAGCGGCGGGCUGAGGGGCUUCUCAAGUGCGGCCAGAGUGGGCGCCGAGGCCGAGGAGGCGCCAAGAGUGAGCGAGGGCUGCGAGGGCUGCCACCACGAUGUCACCUCUCAGUUCUAGUAGAGACGGGGUUUCACUGUGUUAGCCAGGAUGGUCUUGAUCUCCUGACCUCGUGAUCCACCUGCCUCGGCCUCCCAAAGUGCUGGGAUUACAGGCGUGAGCCACUGCGCCUGGCCUCUACUUCUCAGACGAGGGCCUCACUCUGUCACUCAGGCUGGAGUGAAGUGGUGCAAUCACAGUUCACUGAAACCUUGAACUCCUGGGUACAAGGAAUCCUCCUGUCUGGAACUACAGGCUCUCUCUUUGCCUGCUGCCAUCCACGUAAAACAUGACUUGCUCCUCCUUGCCUUCUGCCAUGACUGUGAGGCCUCCCCAGCCACAUGGAACUGAAGAAGAUGAUUUUUCACCUAGUGGAGUCAUUGAACAGUGGUCUUCAAAUUGGGAUUAUUUCCAAGAAUAGAUUAAAAUGCCAUGAAAAAGAAAAAAUUAUAGAAAAGC
rnacentral:lncRNA from 10 species